rnacentral:rRNA from 1 species
AGUGGCGGACGGGUGAGUAACGCGUGGGUAACCUGCCUCACACUGGGGGACAACAGUUAGAAAUGACUGCUAAUACCGCAUAAGCGCACAGGACCGCAUGGUCCGGUGUGAAAAACUCCGGUGGUGUGAGAUGGACCCGCGUUUGAUUAGCUAGUUGGUGGGGUAACGGCCUACCAAGCCGACGAUCAGUAGCCGACCUGAGAGGGUGACCGGCCACAUUGGGACUGAGACACGGCCCAA